rnacentral:rRNA from 1 species
AUUGAACGCUGGCGGCAUGCCUUACACAUGCAAGUCGAACGGUAACAGGUCUUCGGAUGCUGACGAGUGGCGCACGGGUGAGUAAUACAUCGGAACGUGCCCAGACGUGGGGGAUAACGAGGCGAAAGCUUUGCUAAUACCGCAUACGAUCUAAGGAUGAAAGCAGGGGACCGCAGGGCCUUGCGCGUUUGGAGCGGCCGAUGGCAGAUUAGGUAGUUGGUGGGAUAAAAGCUUACCAAGCCGACGAUCUGUAGCUGGUCUGAGAGGACGACCAGCCACACUGGGACUGAGACACGGCCCAGACUCCUACGGGAGGCAGCAGUGGGGAAUUUUGGACAAAGGGCGAAAGCCUGAUCCAGCAAUGCCGCGUGCAGGAUGAAGGCCUUCGGGUUGUAAACUGCUUUUGUACGGAACGAAAAGGCUCUGGCUAAUACCUGGGGCACAUGACGGUACCGUAAGAAUAAGCACCGGCUAACUACGUG